UGCAGUUAAUAAAACACAUCCAUGAAUUUCACUUAUAGAGAUGACCCAGACUUUUAUUAUUUACUAAGCUUUCUCUGCAACUAUCAGUCUGAGUAAAUGAUCUGGACAAAGUCCUUAAAGGAAGACCUAAACGGAUCUUUGCCACACCUCAAAAAUGUUCCACAGGACAGACUUGUCCCACAGGACUUAGACACCAAAGAAUGAAAUGCAAAUGAAAAUGCAUCUGUUCUUCAGUUCUGUACAUUCUUGUGUUAAUAUCUUGGCCAUUGUUGCUAACCAGGGAUAUAUUGGUUUUAAUAUGGCUGUAGUUCUUAAAGAAAACCUUCCCAUGGGGCACACUGGUCACAUUUGUAAACUGCACUUGUCUACUGGGCGAGUAUGAGAAUUACUUUGGAGAGAUGACCAGAAGAUGAAAGAAGAAAGCAAAACAGUUAGGAAUGCAGGAGGAAAUUUCCUAAAUAAAGAACUGAGGCCAUCAGAACAUAAAAGGUCAGAAAGAAAAUGUGAGAUUUUACUAAUAUUCUGGCCGCAACUGUGGGUUAGGCACCGAAGCUUCCACGGGGGCUUGACCUCCUAGUUUCAUCAUAAGGUCAUGACCAACUUAUCAACCAUACCUGCUGAGAUGCAUAUUCUCUUCCAUUCUGUAAAAUAAUAAAUAAAUCAACUUAAUGAAUCCAAUAAAGACUUUAAAGA